UAGGGAAUCUUCCGCAAUGGGCGAAAGCCUGACGGAGCAACGCCGCGUGAGUGAUGAAGGUCUUCGGAUCGUAAAACUCUGUUAUUAGGGAAGAACAAAUGUGUAAGUAACUAUGCACGUUUUGACGGUACCUAAUCAGAAAGCCACGGCUAACUACGUGCCAGCAGCCGCGGUAAUACGUAGGUGGCAAGCGUUAUCCGGAAUUAUUGGGCGUAAAGCGCGCGUAGGCGGUUUUUUAAGUCUGAUGUGAAAGCCCACGGCUCAACCGUGGAGGGUCAUUGGAAACUGGAAAACUUGAGUGCAGAAGAGGAAAGUGGAAUUCCAUGUGUAGCGGUGAAAUGCGCAGAGAUAUGGCGGAACACCAGUGGCGAAGGCGACUUUCUGGUCUGUAACUGACGCUGAUGUGCGAAAGCGUGGGGAUCAAACAGG
rnacentral:rRNA from 1 species